AUAUAUUGAUCGAUUAAAAACUCAUUAGUAUAGGCAUAGUCAAAGCUAGUUGAGUCUUUUAAUAAACCGGAUUAUUUAAUCCGUUUGAAGUUGUAAAGAACUGUAAGCGUUGCCAACGUUGAUUUUUAUUAUUCACGGAAUCGAUCUUGAAAACAAAGGUUGUAUUUACUUUCUUUUGCUCUUUAAACAGUAAUAUUAUCAUACACAUAGUAAUCUUUAA